GGAAGUGAGGGUGAUCUGGCUGCGACAUCUGUCACCCCUUUGAUCACCAGGGUUGAUUUGGCUGAUCUGGCUGGCCAGGCGGGUGUCCCCUUCCCCCUCACCACUCCACGUACAUCCCUCCUGAAGCUGCGCUCGGUCGAAGAGGACCGACCUUCCCCGAAUAGAGGAGGACCGGUCUUCAGUCAGGGGCAUACGAGCAGCUGCGCUCCCCUGCUAGAACCCCCAAACAAGCUCUCAAAAUACUGGUGUAAUACAGUGCUUGCUUUUCUCAUAUUCACUGAGCUCUGCAGGUUCUAGGAAUCAGAAUUUUAGAUUGUUAAGU
rnacentral:snRNA from 1 species